rnacentral:rRNA from 1 species
UUCUCGAUUGUAGGUCCGGGUCAUCCGCGAUGUCAUGAAUCUAGGAUCUURGUGCCAGAAAGGAAGUKGAAUUCACGKUAGCGGUGAAUGCGUAGRAUGUGAGAAMUCAGUGGCGAAGGCGACUCUCUGGUCUGUAACUGACGCUGAGAGCGAAAGCGUGGGAGCGACAGAUUAGAUACCCUKGUAGUUCCACGCCGUAACCGAUGAGUKSCUAAGUGKUUAGGGGGUUUCCGCCCCUUAGUGCUGCAGCUAACGCAUUAAGCACUCCGCCCUGGGGAGKUACGGUCGCAAGACUGAAACUCAAAGGAAUUGACGGGGGCCCGCACAAGCGGUGGAGCAUGUGGUUUAAWUUCGAAGCAACGCGAAGAACCUUACCAGGUCUUGACAUCCUCUGACAAUCCUAGAGAUAGGACGUCCCCUUCGGGGGCAGAGUGACAGGUGGUGCAUGGUUGUCGUCAGCUCGUGUCGUGAGAUGUUGGGUUAAGUCCCGCAACGAGCGCAACCCUUGAUCUUAGUUGCCAGCAUUCAGUUGGGCACUCUAAGGUGACUGCCGGUGACAAACCGGAGGAAGGUGGGGAUGACGUCAAAUCAUCAUGCCCCUUAUGACCUGGGCUACACACGUGCUACAAUGGACAGAACAAAGGGCAGCGAAACCGCGAGGUUAAGCCAAUCCCACAAAUCUGUUCUCAGUUCGGAUCGCAGUCUGCAACUCGACUGCGUGAAGCUGGAAUCGCUAGUAAUCGCGGAUCAGCAUGCCGCGGUGAAUACGUUCCCGGGCCUUGUACACACCGCCCGUCACACCACGAGAGUUUGUAACACCCGAAGUCGGUGAGGUAACCUUUAUGGAGCCAGCCGCCGAA